CCAGGACGUCGCUGAUGGAGGUGGCGGUGCCGAGCUCGCGCCGUCCGGCGGCCUCGGUCAGCAGGGCUGCCGGGUCAUGGCCGGCCUUCCGGGC
rnacentral:tRNA from 1 species